ACGCGAUGGACGACGAUCAGG
rnacentral:misc_RNA from 1 species